rnacentral:ncRNA from 2 species
GCAGGUCGUCGCGACUGGCGUUCGGAUGGAGCAACCAUCGGGGAGCGACGACGCCGUUCUUGCCGCCGCGCGCCUGGGCACCCCGU